CUGAAAAGCUUACUUUUUGUUCAUGUAUUAUUGUAUUUCUAGGACUGGAUCUUGAGCAAGGACCACAUUCAUUAGAUAAUACACAUCACUUGGAAGAAAGAGGAAAAUUGUUAGAAAAACAAGAAGAUAUAGAAAACGAAAAAGAGAAGAAGCAUAAUGCAGAGAUUGAAGAAUUGAAGAGGCAAUGUAAUCGGGUGAUGUAGCAGAGGAAUGUAGUAAAGGUUUCCUCUUCUUUAACUUUCACUAUUUUUUCUUAUUCCAAACGUUGAUUUAACCGUGUAUUAUGAGACAUUCAUGCAACUGUUGGUAAACGUUAAAUAAUAUUCCAAAUUAAAAAAAAAUUGAUGUUGAAAAUUAAAGUUGUCAAAUAAUUUAAUUGUUAGUUGGUCUUAUUUGUCUAAUGUACUGUAAUAUACAUCCUAAUAGGAAACAAAAGUAACAAUAUUUGUGGUUCUUUAAAAAGAAAUUUGUGAAAACAAGUUCUUUAUCACCUUGGAGAUAAAAAAAAAGUCUCUAAUUAUAUAACAUUUAUUUUUCAAUAUGAGCCACAAGCUUAAUCUAAUUUAAUUUCAUCCUU